GGGAUUUUCUUUCAUGUGACUGAUUGAAAAUUAUUUAAAAUAUCUACUGGUAACUGAUAAUUAACCAAUAAUUAGCCAUGGCAUUGAAUCUAUGCACAGUGACUUUUUGGCCUCUCUAUAGCUGGUAUUUGACUAAAGCUUCUAAAAGAGUCAUCAGGCACAAUGGCAGAGUUACAUCAAAGGUCCACUAACAGAAAAUGACAGUAAAAUCAGUAGUCAUGGGAAUAAACAGAAUAAUUAAAAUAUUAAAUCCCUUUCCUGCAGUCUUAAAUGCAAGAAACAACUAAAGGCUUUAUCUGACUGAUAUGCUCAACAAACUGCCAAUAUCAAAUGUUUUAUUCCAUCUUCAGCUAUCACUUCAGCAUUCAGAUGUUUUUCAAAGGUGUGCUUCAUACACACACACAUAUCUAUACACAUACAAUCACAUAUAUUUAAAAUCAAUUACCUAUUUCAUUAAAUGAUGGGUUAUAUGAUAAUCAGCAUCCUGAUAAAAGAGGGAAAAUAAAGAAUAGAUCAUAAGUUUAAAGGGCAUGCUUUUUCCUAGAACACGUUACAAAAUCAGGGUGACAAACAUUCUACACAUUCCAUCCAAUAGCUUCAAAGGCAUCAUGUGCAAAACAAAGCAAAUGUAUACUAUUACAAGUAGAGAAGAGAAGGAAAAACAAGCAUCAAAGGUGAGUUCAGGCUGGUGGUGAUGGCCACCUCCCACUUUACAAAGUAGCACAGAAGAUUUAAUACUAAAAUAGCACACUGGCUUGUUUUGUUUUUUAGAGACAGGGUCUUUCCCUAUCAUCCAAGCUGGAGUAUACCGGUGCCAUCCUAGCUGACUGAACCUUGAACUCCCCGGCUCAAGAGAUCCUCCCGCCUGAGCCUCCCAAAUAGCUAGGACUACAGGCAUGGCCCACCUUGCCUGGCUAAUUCUUAAAAUCUUUUGUAGAGAUCUUUUGUAGGGUCUUGCCCAGGCUGGUCUCAAACUCCUGGCCUCAAGCAAUCCUCCCGCUUUGGUUUCAGAAAGCGCUGGGAUCACAGGUGUGAGUCACCGAGCCUGUCCACAUUAGCUUUUACAAAUGAGAAUUGGGGAUAAUGAGUAAAGUCUGGGU
rnacentral:lncRNA from 1 species